rnacentral:rRNA from 1 species
AUAAUACUCCAUAGAUUAGAGAUACUGGAAUGUUCUUUAGUCAAAAGUUCUGGCGCCUUAGGAUGGAUCUGCGGUCGAUUAGGUUGUUGUUGGGGUAACGGCCCAACAAGCCUGUAAUCGAUACGGGUUGUGGGAGCAAUAGCCCGGAGAUGGAAUCUGAGACAAGAUUCCAGGCCCUACGGGGCGCAGCAGGCGCGAAAACUUUACAAUGCAGGAAACUGUGAUAAGGGAACCCCGAGUGCCCGUAUACGCGGGCUGUCCAGGUGUUUAAAAAUCAUCUGAAGAAAGGGCCGGGCAAGACCGGUGCCAGCCGCCGCGGUAAUACCGGCGGCUCGAGUGGUGGCCACUAUUAUUGGGCUUAAAGCGUCCGUAGCUGGACUGAUAAGUCUCUUGGGAAAUCCGCCGGCUCAACCGGCGGGCGUCUAAGGGAUACUGUUGGUCUAGGGACCGGGAGAGGUGAGAGGUACUCCGGGGGUAGGAGUGAAAUCCUGUAAUCCCCGGGGGACCACCGAUGGCGAAGGCAUCUCACCAGAACGGCUCCGACAGUGAGGGACGAAAGCUGGGGGAGCAAACCGGAUUAAAUACCCGGGUAGUCCCAGCCGUAAACUGUGCGCGUUAGGUGU